GGGCCUGUAGUUUAAAGGGUUAGAACAGCACUCUCCAAAAGUUCUAAUGAGGGUUCGAGUCCCCUCAGGUCCA
rnacentral:tRNA from 1 species